ACACCACCCCUGCUGGUCCUGUGCAUCCUCAAAGGGACUUGUUCCUGAGCACACAGGGAACCUGUUCCCUGUGUCUUCAAAGCUCCAUGUUAGUGGUGGCAGAGCUCUGCUUCAGAGUGAACUAGUUCUUGAAUGGGGCACAUAGGUUCUUCCUGAAGGUGAGCAGCCAUGAAGAGGCUCUCACCUCCCAAUAGUCAUGAGCUGUCGUCACACACUGCAGAGGUCCACAUGAGUGUGAGGUAUCAUUGAGAAGAGUGUUGUUCAGUUUCCAGGAAAAUACUUGCGAAUAUCUGAAAUUCUCUCCAUGAUGUUCAAUGAUCUCUCAGAUGUCCUCAUCAAAGACAGGUAGUAGGAAGAAUUCACAAGGGACAAAAGAUCAUGGAAUGAUAAUGGAACCUGGCUAAGCUGUCAGGUUUGAAACAAGAGCCAGAGGGCUAGAGGUACAAGUAUUUCUGGUCUUGAAUAUGAGAAAUGCAGAAACAGACUCUACUGAGAGAGAGAUCAUCAUAUCGAACCAGUGACAUGUGAGGGGAAAUGCUUCCGGUAUAAGCAAUUCUUAGAAAAAAAAUGGAGACCCCAAUUCAUCCUUCAUAAAUUCUUCAUCGCUUGGAUUGAAAAUGAUGGUACAAUUUUUAAUUUGUGAGGAAAACAUGUUAUAUGUUGAUGGAGUGAGGAAUGUGAUUGAAGAUGUACAUGGAGUAAAGUACCAACCAAACACACCUUUAAAUUAUGUAUGAUGUCUGCUAGGAGAGACAAGAUCUAAUCUCAUGAGAUGUAAAUAUAAACCAGCCAUUAGUGUGUGAAUUGGGAAGGAUGAAAAGAAGGUGAAUCCCUAAAAAAAUAAGCAUCAUUAAUCUCAAGAAUGCCCACUAUAACCUAAAAUACAACUACAACAUUGGAUCUGGUUCUUAAUCAGAUAAUGAAAUUGUCUGCAGGUAAAUCUGCAGGUUUAUGGAUGUGGUACAUAAACUUGAGACAUCACAACAGAUGGAAGGAUUCUCAUAACUUUAAAAUGGACAGGACAGUGGUGAAAUUGAUUCCAGGUGAGGUUCAGAGGAUUGUGCACAGACAAAGGUGGCCUUUGAAUCCAGGACAUUGUCCAAAUUUAUAUGAAAGUACAGUGGUAUUGAGUUAGUAUGAAGGCAACAUUUCUUCUUCCCCUUCAGGAUUUUAAGUACGAAUAGUCUUUAGUUUAGAUAUUUUCUGCUUCUCUCCUAUCCCAAGUCACAAAAUCUCACACAACGUACUGAUACGACAAAUUUCAUUUUAAAACUUUGUUAUGAAAGAGCAAUGAAGGAUGAAAAUCGAAAUGAAAUGAAGUCCAGAUGAUGCAAAAUGCCUAGCUUCUCUUUCUCUCCUUUUCCUGACCUGAGGUCUUCACAUAGUACUGGGGGACACAUUGGAAUACAGGACAUCUACACAUGCCCAGAAGAGCUACAUAGGCUCCCUCCCAUGAAUGGAAUAUUAGGAACUCUGUUUCCAAGUCACAAUCACAUUUCCUGCUGAAGAAACCCUCCUGUCAGUGGAAGAACUUACAGAUAGAUUUAUGUAUGCUAUGGAUGGUGAUGAUGAUGAAUGGAUGUUUGAUACCUCAUGUUUGAAACUUUGUAGCUUCUUUUUAAGUGGAUAUGCAAUUGAUGCUUAUUAUUUUGAUAAAGUUCAUAUGUAAUAAAUGAAAUUCUUAUGAGCAAUAUUAGCUAACAAAGGAUAUUUCCUUGAAAUGAUAGUUUUAAUAUAAAUGUAUACUUCAGAGGGGCUAUAAAAGUGUGUACUCCUACCAGCAAUGGGGAAGUGUUCACCUUGCUCCACAUCCUCAUCAGCAUUGUCUGUCACUUGUGACUUUAGAUUCAGCCAUUCUGACAUUUGUAAGACAGAAUCCUAGACUCAUUUUGAUUUGCAUUUCAUGGUCAGCUAAGGAUAAUGAACACUCCUAUAAGUGCUUCUUUUUCUGUAGUGAUUCCUUUGUUAAGAAUUCUUUUUAGACCUACAAUUCAUUUCUAAAUUGGAUUAUUUUUUGUUGAUGUCUACUUUCUUAAGUAUGUAUUUUAAAUAUCAGACUUCUGUUAUAUCUGGUGUUGGUGAACACAUUUUUCCAUCCUAUAGACCACAGUUUGUUCUCUUGAUAGUGAGUGGUCUUUGUCUCACAGAACUUUCUCAAGAUCAUGAAGUCAAAUUUAUUGAUUAUGCUUCUUACUCUCUGUGCUUUGGUGUUCUCUUCAGGAUGCUGUCUCCUGUGCCAAUGGGUUGUGAGCCCUCCCCUACAUUCUCUGCUUUUGACUCAAGAUAUUUGAUUUCAUACUAAGGUUUUGAUCAGCUUUGUUUUGAGUAUUGUGAAUGUAUACCGAUAUGGAUCUAUUUGCAUUAUUCUAAAUACAGAUUUAAUUAGACAAGG